UACGUAGGGCGCAAGCGUUUGUCCGGAAUUAUUGGGCGUAAAGAGCUCGUAGGCGGCUUGUCACGUCGGAUGUGAAAGCCCGGGGCUUAACUCCGGGUCUGCAGUCGAUACGGGCAGGCGUAGAGUUCGGUAGGGGAGACGUGGAAUUCCUGGUGUAGCGGUGAAAUGUGCAGAUAUCAGGAGGAACACCGGUGGCGAAGGCGGGUCUCUGGGCCGAUACUGACGCUGAGGAGCGAAAGCGUGGGGAGCGAACAGG
rnacentral:rRNA from 1 species